AUCGAACGCUGGCGGCAGGCCUAACACAUGCAAGUCGAGCGCAGCGGCGGACGGGUGAGUAAUGCCUAGUCAUCUGCCUGGUAGUGGGGGAUCACGUCCGGCAACGGGCGCUAAUACCGCAUACUAUCAGAUGAGCCUAGGGGGGAUUAGCUAGUUGGUGGGGUAAAGGCUUACCAAGGCGACGAUGCGUAACUGGUCUGAGAGGAUGAUCAGUCAAACUGGGACUGAGAGACGGACCAGACUCCUACGGGAGGCAGCAGUGGGGAAUAGUGGACAAUGGGCGAAAGCCUGAGCCAGCAAUGCCGCGUGUGUGAAGAAGGUUUUCGGAUUGUAAAGCACUUUAAGUUGGGAAGCGUUACCAACAGAGAAAGCACCGGCUAACUUCGUGCCAGCAGCCGCGGUAAUUC
rnacentral:rRNA from 1 species